GAGGAAUAUUGGACAAUGGGCGCAAGCCUGAUCCAGCCAUGCCGCGUGCAGGAAGACUGCCCUAUGGGUUGUAAACUGCUUUUAUACGGGAAGAAACACCCCUACGUGUAGGGGCUUGACGGUACCGUAAGAAUAAGCACCGGCUAACUCCGUGCCAGCAGCCGCGGUAAUACGGAGGGUGCAAGCGUUAUCCGGAAUCAUUGGGUUUAAAGGGUCCGCAGGCGGUCAAUUAAGUCAGAGGUGAAAUCCCACAGCUUAACUGUGGAACUGCCUUUGAUACUGGUUGACUUGAGUUAUACGGAAGUAGAUAGAAUAUGUAGUGUAGCGGUGAAAUGCAUAGAUAUUACAUAGAAUACCGAUUGCGAAGGCAGUCUACUACGUGUAUACUGACGCUCAUGGACGAAAGCGUGGGGAGCGAAC
rnacentral:rRNA from 1 species